AUUGAACGCUGGCGGCAUGCCUUACACAUGCAAGUCGAACGGCAGCACGGGGCAACCUGGUGGCGAGUGGCGAACGGGUGAGUAAUGCAUCGGAACGUACCUUUCAGUGGGGGAUAACGUAGCGAAAGUUACGCUAAUACCGCAUAUUCCGUGAGCAGGAAAGCAGGGGCUCGCAAGACCUUUCGUUGAUUGCGCGGCCGAUGACAGAUUAGCUAGUUGGUGAGGUAAAGGCUCACCACGGCGACGAUCUGAAGCGGGUCUGAGAGGAUGAUCCGCCACACAGGAACUGAGACACGGUCCAGACUCGUACGGGAGGCAGCAGUGGGGAAUUUUGGACAAUGGGGGCAACCCUGAUCCGGCCAUGCCGCGUGAGUGAAGAAGGCCUUCGGGUUGUAAAGCUCUUUCGGCCGGGAAGAAAUCGCACGGGCUAAUACCCUGUGUGGAUGACGGUACCGGAAUAAGAAGCACCGGCUAACUACGUGCCAGCAGCCGCCGCCG
rnacentral:rRNA from 1 species